UUUUCAUUUAUAAGAUCAUGAAAUCAUUUACUCAUUUGUCUUAUACAAACCAUCGAGAUAGAUAGUUAUUUUAAGUUAGUGUCAUAUAUAAAUAUAUAAUUGAGUAAAUUAUACAAGUAUAUAGUGAGUUGAUAAUUAAAAAAAUACAAAGGGAAUGGAUUGUUUUGAAAUUGUACAGCUUUUUAUCUACACAUUCCAUGGAUUUGGACAAACGAUGAUGCAUGACGACAUGACGUUUAACUAUCUAAUCAGAUGAGGAUAACAAACAUUAGAAAAAUAAAAUCUAAAAGCUGAUUUGAUUUCAUGACGAAACUAAAUUCAUGACCAAUUAAAUCUUAGUAAUUCGUGGUAACGAUUUAUAACAGAGCUCAUAGAAGAAACAAGAGCAAGUGGUCCAUAUGGACCAAUAAGAGCCUUUCCUUGUGAGCAAAGAUUAAUGUCAUCCACACAAAUAUCAGAAAGAAACAAAAACAAAAUCUAUAAUAUAAUAGGAGAGUUGAGUCUUUCCUGAAGUGACACCUCAGCGUUUUAGUGGGUCCCACUUUUAAAAAGUUUGAAAAAGUACCAUACAUGUGUUUCGAACCCAGGUUAUUGAGCUAUAAACACCAACAUUUAUACCACUAAACUAAAGAAUACUUUGUACAUUGAUGGCCGCAACUAAUAUAUAUUUAUGAAAGUUGGAAACUUUUGCUUCUUCAGUUUUCUCUGUGGGUCAUGCCUACAAGUGUAUUAUGAGUUUCAUUUUUAAAUAAGGUUCAUCACGUUAAUCUUCUACUUAUCAUAUUUAUUUAGUAUAAUUGUUUUUAUUUGAUUUCAUGAUUCUUUGUUAAAUAAUAUUAUUUGCCGAUUUCGUGAUUCAUGGGUUUUUUUCGGCCUGACAUGCUAAUCAUUACAUGCCAUCUUUGAAAGUCGGUUCCAUUGUGAAAGUCGAUCGUUUUGAGGUUGCUAGGUGUUCAAGCAUGUACAAGAUAAUUGAUCACCCAUUCUUCAUUCGUUUCAUCUCACCAACUAUUAUUGAUGAAGUCAUCACGGGUGCUCCUGAGAUCAAUCUCCAAUCAUUAUUAGACUGUUGACAAUUUCUAAGUGAUUGCGAACACAAACCUACAACUCCCAUAUAUAUUAUCAUAUUGCAUCUGGGUUUAUAAUAUGUUUCGUUAUCAUAACUAAUAUUUAAACUCGCAGAUGUGGUUGGGAAAAUCCGUUAUGUCCAAGGCUCUGACCUUAGCAAAGAAACAACUUGAGUCGUUAUCCGUCUCCUCAUUGAUCCGUAAGAAACAAUCAACAAACAAUUAUCUUUAUAUUAUUAUUAAUAUUGUGCUAACAUCAAUAAUCAAAAAUAUUUCCUACCCAAAUUAUGUGGUCGUCUACUUAUCUCUCUUACUUAUCAAACUAAUUUUACACAAACUUUUAUUUUACAGCUUAAAGAAACCACAACAACCCAAACAAUCAAAACACCAAAAACUAGAAUUCCAAAAAAGAUGAAUCAUUAAUAAUCACCUCUCUUUUUUGUCUAAUCUUAGAAAUAAACUUCAAAAUAAAUAUAUCAAACCAAUCACCUCAACUAAUACUCAACGACACAUAAAUCGAGUCAGGCAAACAAAUACAAACUUCACGACCAGCUAUUUAACAAUUUACAAACUUACUUUCGCAACGAAGAAGACGAAGACGACAACCAAGAUCAGUGAAAUUACCUGAACAAAAAAGCAGAGUAAGUUAUGAACUCUGAUAAAUACAUCUAAUAAUGAUUUUUGUUUACAUAUUACCCAUCAAAUAAAAUAUAAACAAACACAACCACAACAGAAGAUACAAGAGAUAAUCCCGACAGACACAAAGGCGGCAACAACAUCUCCACAUGCUCACUCCUCUUGUCUUAUAAAAAUAGCUUACAUGCCCAAUGUCAACAAGUCAAUGCUAUUGUUUUCUUAUGAGAAAUACAUAAAUUCGUUUAAAACUCAUUAAAGCCUAAAUACUCAUAACUAUCAAUCAUUUUAUAGUUAUUUCUACAAGUCUUCAUGUAUUUGUUUUAAAGGUUCGGUAAGAGCAACAAGUUUAAAAAUAAAAUAAAAACAUAUAACAAAUAUAAUAAAGAUAAUAAAAACUAUUACUUAAUACACACAACUUACACAACUAAACUGGAGAGAAAAUAUCUAGAAACAAAAGGUACGUUCCACAACUUUAAUAUAAUUUAUGUACUCUCAACAUUACAAUAAACAAAUUAAAAAGACAAACAAACAAUAAGUCUCACUGACACAGCAAACAACAACACAAACUAUAUAAAUCACAUUAUUAACAUAGUUUAGUACUUCAUAAGUGGAGAACAAUGCAUACACAGUUCAUCAUUACAAAUCUAAUCCUAUAACAAUAAAAAGACCUUGAAAAAUAACUCAAAACGCAAAAUUCACAACUAUAAUAACCCUAGCAAAUAUUAAGAUGAAACAAGAACUUUGUCCACAACCCCGCGCUUGCGCGGGGGCAAUGCCCCUAGUCUAUUAUAUAAUAGGAGAGUUUCUCUCCUCCUGAUGCGACACGUCAGCGGUUUGUGGGUCCCACUUUUUAAAAGUGUGAAAAAGUGUCAAAUAUGUGAUUUGAACCCAGGCUAUUGAGAUAUAAACACCCACAACUAUACCACUACACUAAAGGAUACUUUGUACAAUGAUGGCCGAAACUAAUAUAUAUUAUGAAGGUCGGAAAUUAAUAUAACAUUGUGGACCCCACCUCUUUUUUUUUUUUAAAUUGAUGGGUAAAGAAUGGACUUCGAUAAAAAGUGGGCUUUGGGCUUAUUUAUUUUCUGUUUAUUAGGCUUUGUAUCUGUCCAAAGUGGUGAUACAGACAAAGCUAAGAAGAUUAGGGAAGCCGCCAUCUUCACCAUCUCCUUCGUCGCUUGCGAUUCUCCUUCCGGCAACAAGCUAUUAUGGUCGAUCUUUAAGGCUCUAUGCACGUUUUGCGCCUACCAAACGCUUAGUUUCUCCUCUAACGCCUUCAGAGCUCUCAUAUAUAUAGAAUCCCUCGAGCUGCUCCAGCCGCUUCAGCCGCCAUUGCCGCCGUUCCCUACUCCACCUUCAACUCUCUCCGCCUUGGAAGGUCCACUCAGUCCAUUGUUGGUCGACUCAUCCGAUUCUAGGAUUCCAGUAACAUUAACAAGAAUGGAGAGUUUAUGGACAUCACCAUUCUCCUCCUUGAUGAACUGGUGAUGAUUGUUUCUAACUUAUUUUUUAUCACUUUAACUCUGCUUUGCUUAUUCUUUGUUCAUAUAUGAAACGUGUCUUCAUGUUUUUGUUUUGGUUUUGUCUAUGGGUUUUUUUAUGAACAAAUAAUGAUUUUUCUCUGUUUUUCUUACAGGAUUCUGUGAUCCACAGUUUCAUCCCUGCAAUCUCCAAACAAAAUAGGAAAACUGAAUGAAUUAUGUUUUUAGCAACCGAAUCUAAAAGAAAUAAAAGACAUCUUACUUAACAAAUUAAAACCUUUUAUUUUGCAGAUUCCGACGACGACGAAGCACCCGAGGACCAACGACAAUGGAAUGAUGCGGACGAAGCCUAACUGAUGGAUCCCACAGGUGAUGCUGUCCCGACGACGGAGAAAAAAAAAGAAAGAUAACCUAACGUUUUUUUUUUAUUUUUAGUUUUUAAGUUCAAAUCAUGUUUUAGACAUAGAGCCCAACAUAACUUGAGCCCAAACAUUUUAAACCCACAAUUACUUUUUCAUAAUGUAAAAACGUCAACCUUCGUUUAUGUUUUGUUAAACUAUUUUAAUCUUUAUGUUUUGUUAAACUAUUUCACACAGGGGGCAGAUCUCCUUAAAAGGGGAGCCACUCGCCACGAUGCUUCCAGUUUCACCAUUCUUGAAACUCUUAUGAACCACAAAGCCAAUAUAAAAGCUCUGUUUCAAUCCAACGGCUGGAUUUUGUCACAGACCACCGCUAAGCCUGAAGAGGGAAGAGAAGUGGAGUGCUGCGUUUUGGAAGAUGGUUACUUGGA